rnacentral:rRNA from 1 species
UACGGAGGGUGCAAGCGUUAUCCGGAUUCACUGGGUUUAAAGGGUGCGUAGGCGGACAGGUAAGUCAGUGGUGAAAUCUCCGAGCUUAACUCGGAAAGGUCAACUGAUACUGUGCGACUAGAGUGCGGAAGGGGCAACUGGAAUUCUUGGUGUAGCGGUGAAAUGCGUAGAUAUCAAGAGGAACACCUGCGGCGAAGGCGGGUUGCUGGGCCGACACUGACGCUGAAGCGCGAAAGCCAGGGGAGCGAACGGG